UUAUCAGACUUGUUACAAGGUUGUUCUCACAAGUCUGAUACAGUCAUGAUAUAACAAGAAUGUUACAAGGGUGACGACACAAAGUUGUAACAAUAUUGUUAUAUCAUGACUGUAUCGGACUUGUUGGAACAACCUUGCAACAAGUCUGAUAA